UACAGGGGGUGCAAACGUUGCUCGGAAUUAUUGGGCGUAAAGCGCGCGUAGGCGGCUACUUAAGUCGGAUGUGAAAGCCCUUGGCUCAACUGAGGAAGUGCACCCGAAACUGAGUGGCUUGAGUACUAAAGAGGGUCGCGGAAUUCCCGGUGUAGAGGUGAAAUUCGUAGAUAUCGGGAGGAACACCAGUGGCGAAGGCGGCGACCUGGGCAGAUACUGACGCUGAGGUGCGAAAGCGUGGGGAGCAAACAGG
rnacentral:rRNA from 1 species